rnacentral:hammerhead_ribozyme from 1 species
AUUCAGCUGACGCGUCCUAAAUAGGACAAAACUCACGUCUUGGAU